rnacentral:rRNA from 1 species
ACGGUGAUCGGAUAUUGGGUUUAAGGGUGCGUAGGCGGACUGAUAAGUCUGUGGUGAAAUCCGACGGCUCAACUGUCGAACUGCCUUUGAUACUGUUAGUCUUGAGUAAGGUUGAGGUGGGUGGAAUUCGUAGUGUAGCGGUGAAAUGCUUAGAUAUUACUUAGAACACCGAUUGCGAAGGCAGGUUACUGGGUCUUAACUGACGCUGAUGGACGAAAGCGUGGGGAGCGAACAGGAUUAGAUACCCUGGUAGUCCACGCCGUAAACGAUGAUUACUCGUUUUUGGGUUUUAUGAUUCAUAGACUAAGCGAAAGUGAUAAGUAAUCCCCCUGGGGGGUACGUUCGCCAGAAUGAAACUCAAGGG